rnacentral:rRNA from 1 species
GUCGAGGGGUAUAGGUUUUCGGACCUAGAGACCGGCGCACGGGUGCGUAACGCGUAUGCAAUCUACCUUUUACAGAGGGAUAGCCCAGAGAAAUUUGGAUUAAUACCUCAUAGUAUUACGACUCGGCAUCGAGAUGUAAUUAAAGUCACAACGGUAAAAGAUGAGCAUGCGUCCCAUUAGCUUGUUGGUAAGGUAACGGCUUACCAAGGCAACGAUGGGUAGGGGUCCUGAGAGGGAGAUCCCCCACACUGGUACUGAGACACGGACCAGACUCCUACGGGAGGCAGCAGUGAGGAAUAUUGGUCAAUGGGCGCAAGCCUGAACCAGCCAUGCCGCGUGCAGGAUGAAGCAUCUAUGGUGUGUAAACUGCUUUUGUACGAGAAGAAACACUCCUACGUGUAGGAGCUUGACGGUAUCGUAAGAAUAAGGACCGGCUAACUCCGUGCCAGCAGCCGCGGUAAUACGGAGGGUCCAAGCGUUAUCCGGAAUCAUUGGGUUUAAAGGGUCCGUAGGCGGUUUUGUAAGUCAGUGGUGAAAGCCCAUCGCUCAACGGUGGAACGGCCAUUGAUACUGCAAGACUUGAAUUAUUAGGAAGUAACUAGAAUAUGUAGUGUAGCGGUGAAAUGCUUAGAGAUUACAUGGAAUACCAAUUGCGAAGGCAGGUUACUACUAAUGGAUUGACGCUGAUGGACGAAAGCGUGGGGAGCGAACAGGAUUAGAUACCCUGGUAGUCCACGCCGUAAACGAUGGAUACUAGCUGUUCGGAGCAAUCUGAG